rnacentral:rRNA from 1 species
UACGUAGGGUGCAAGCGUUGUCCGGAAUUACUGGGCGUAAAGCGUGCGCAGGCGGUCUGUUAAGACCGAUGUGAAAUCCCCGGGCUUAACCUGGGAACUGCAUUGGUGACUGGCAGGCUUUGAGUGUGGCAGAGGGAGGUAGAAUUCCACGUGUAGCAGUGAAAUGCGUAGAGAUGUGGAGGAAUACCGAUGGCGAAGGCAGCCUCCUGGGCCAACACUGACGCUCAUGCACGAAAGCGUGGGGAGCAAACAGG